rnacentral:rRNA from 1 species
GACAGAGGGUGCAAACGUUGUUCGGAAUUACUGGGCGUAAAGCGUGUGUAGGCGCCUUGUAAGUCGGAUGUGAAAGCCCCGGGCUUAACCCGGGAAGUGCACCCGAUACUACAAGGCUAGAGUCUCGGAGAGGUUGGUGGAAUUCUCGGUGUAGAGGUGAAAUUCGUAGAUAUCGAGAGGAACACCGGUGGCGAAGGCGGCCAACUGGACGAUGACUGACGCUGAGACACGAACAGCG